rnacentral:rRNA from 1 species
GAACGCUGGCGGCGUGCUUAACACAUGCAAGUCGAACGAGAAUCUACUGAAGGAGGAUUCGUCCAACGGAAGUAGAGGAAAGUGGCGGACGGGUGAGUAACGCGUGAGGAACCUGCCUUGAAGAGGGGGACAACAGUUGGAAACGACUGCUAAUACCGCAUGAAGCAUAGGGGUCGCAUGAUUCUUAUGCCAAAGAUUUAUCGCUUCAAGAUGGCCUCGCGUCUGAUUAGCUAGUUGGCGGGGUAACGGCCCACCAAGGCGACGAUCAGUAGCCGGACUGAGAGGUUGAACGGCCACAUUGGGACUGAGAUACGGCCCAGACUCCUACGGGAGGCAGCAGUGGGGAAUAUUGGGCAAUGGGCGCAAGCCUGACCCAGCAACGCCGCGUGAAGGAAGAAGGCUUUCGGGUUGUAAACUUCUUUUAAGAGGGAAGAGCAGAUGACGGUACCUCUAGAAUAAGCCACGGCUAACUACGUGCCAGCAGCCGCGGUAAUACGCAGGUGGCAAGCGUUGUCCGGAUUUACUGGGUGUAAAGGGCGUGCAGCCGGGUCUGCAAGUCAGAUGUGAAAUCCAUGGGCUCAACCCAUGAACUGCAUUUGAAACUGUAGAUCUUGAGUGUCGGAGGGGCAAUCGGAAUUCCUAGUGUAGCGGUGAAAUGCGUAGAUAUUAGGAGGAACACCAGUGGCGAAGGCGGAUUGCUGGACGAUAACUGACGGUGAGGCGCGAAAGUGUGGGGAGCAAACAGGAUCAGAUACCCUGGUAGUCCACACUGUAAACGAUGAAUACUAGGUGUGCGGGGACUGACCCCCUGCGUGCCGCAGUAAACACAAUAAGUAUUCCACCUGGGGAGUACGAUCGCAAGGUUGAAACUCAAAGGAAUUGACGGGGGCCCGCACAAGCGGUGGAUUAUGUGGUUUAAUUCGACGCAACGCGAAGAACCUUACCAAGUCUUGACAUCCUGCGACGGUGCUGGAAACAGUACUUUCCUUCGGGACGCAGAGACAGGUGGUGCAUGGUUGUCGUCAGCUCGUGUCGUGAGAUGUUGGGUUAAGUCCCGCAACGAGCGCAACCCUUAUGGUCAGUUACUACGCAAGAGGACUCUGGCCAGACUGCCGUUGACAAAACGGAGGAAGGUGAGGAUGACGUCAAAUCAUCAUGCCCUUUAUGACUUGGGCUACACACGUACUACAAUGGCGUUAAACAAAGAGAAGCAAGACCGCGAGGUGGAGCAAAACUCAGAAACAACGUCCCAGUUCGGACUGCAGGCUGCAACUCGCCUGCACGAAGUCGGAAUUGCUAGUAAUCGCAGAUCAGCAUGCUGCGGUGAAUACGUUCCCGGGCCUUGUACACACCGCCCGUCACACCAUGAGAGCCGGGGGGACCCGAAGUCGAUAGUCUAACCGCAAGGAGGACGCCGCCGAAGGAAAA